AGUCAAGUAAAUAAGUGCAUCAGGUGGAUGCCUUGGCGAUGAUAGGCGAUGAAGGACGUGUAAGCCUGCGAAAAGCGCGGAGAAGCUGGCAAUAAAGCAAUGAUACCGCGAUGUCCGAAUGGGGAAACCCACACACUUUAGUGUGUAUCACAGAGUGAAUACAUAGCUCUGCUGAAGCGAACCCGGAGAACUGAACCAUCUAAGUACCCGGAGGAAAAGAAAUCAACCGAGAUUCCGUAAGUAGUGGCGAGCGAACACGGAAAAGCCUGUGCGUAAUAAUGGCAGUGUUAGGAAAAGGACUUGGAAACGUCCGCCAUAGUGGGUGAUAGCCCCGUAUCCGAAAACACUAUCAUGGUACUAAGCGCACGAAAAGUAAGGCGGGACACGUGAAAUCCUGUCCGAAGACGGGGGGACCAUCCUCCAAGGCUAAAUACUCAUCAUCGACCGAUAGUGAACCAGUACCGUGAGGGAAAGGCGAAAAGAACCCCGGGAGGGGAGUGAAAUAGAACCUGAAACCUGAUGCAUACAAACAGUGGGAGCCCUGUAUAGGGUGACUGCGUACCUUUUGUAUAAUGGGUCAACGACUUACAUUCAGUAGCGAGCUUAACCGAGUAGGGGAGGCGCAGGGAAACCGAGUCUUAAUAGGGCGAACAGUUGCUGGGUGUAGACCCCGAAACCGAGUGAUCUAUCCAUGGCCAGGAUGAAGGUGCGGUAACACGCACUGGAGGUCCGAACCCACGCAUGUUGCAAAAUGCGGGGAUGAGCUGUGGAUAGGGGUGAAAGGCUAAACAAACUCGGAGAUAGCUGGUUCUCCCCGAAAACUAUUUAGGUAGUGCCUCAUGUAUCACUUCCGGGGGUAAAGCACUGUUAUGGCUAGGGGGUCAUUGCGACUUACCAACCCAUGGCAAACUAAGAAUACCGGAAAGUGCAAUCAUGGGAGACAGACAGCGGGUGCUAACGUCCGUUGUCAAGAGGGAAACAACCCAGACCGCCGGCUAAGGUCCCAAAUGACAGAUUAAGUGGUAAACGAAGUGGGAAGGCACAGACAGCCAGGAUGUUGGCUUAGAAGCAGCCAUCAUUUAAAGAAAGCGUAAUAGCUCACUGGUCGAGUCUUCCUGCGCGGAAGAUGUAACGGGGCUCAAAUCUGUAACCGAAGCCGCGGAUGCUAGUUUACUAGCAUGGUAGGGGAGCGUUCUGUAAGCCUGUGAAGGCAGCUUGUAAAGGCUGCUGGAGGUAUCAGAAGUGCGAAUGUUGACAUGAGUAGCGAUAAAGCGGGUGAAAAGCCCGCUCGCCGAAAGCCCAAGGUUUCCUACGCAACGUUCAUCGGCGUAGGGUGAGUCGGCCCCUAAGGCGAGGCAGAAAUGCGUAGCCGAUGGGAAACGGGUUAAUAUUCCCGUACUUUGAUUCAAUGCGAUGUGGGGACGGAGAAGGUUAUGCUGGCAGACUGUUGGAAUAGUCUGUUUAAGCUGGUAGGCAGAGGAAGUAGGCAAAUCCGCUUCCUUAAUGCCGAGACGUGAUGACGAGCAACCACGGUUGCGAAGCAGCAAAUACCACGCUUCCAGGAAAAGCCACUAAGCUUCAGUUGAAUCAGAACCGUACCGCAAACCGACACAGGUGGGCAGGAUGAGAAUUCUAAGGCGCUUGAGAGAACUCGGGAGAAGGAACUCGGCAAAUUGAUACCGUAACUUCGGGAGAAGGUAUGCCCUUUUAGGUGAAGGACUCGCUCCGUAAGCCAAAGAGGGCCGCAGAGAAUAGGUGGCUGCGACUGUUUAUUAAAAACACAGCACUCUGCUAACACGAAAGUGGACGUAUAGGGUGUGACGCCUGCCCGGUGCUGGAAGGUUAAUUGAAGAUGUGCAAGCAUCGGAUCGAAGCCCCAGUAAACGGCGGCCGUAACUAUAACGGUCCUAAGGUAGCGAAAUUCCUUGUCGGGUAAGUUCCGACCCGCACGAAUGGCGUAACGAUGGCCACACUGUCUCCUCCCGAGACUCAGCGAAGUUGAAAUGGUUGUGAAGAUGCAAUCUCCCCGCUGCUAGACGGAAAGACCCCGUGAACCUUUACUGCAGCUUUGCAUUGGACUUUGAAGUCACUUGUGUAGGAUAGGUGGGAGGCUAUGAAACAGAAACGCCAGUUUCUGCGGAGCCGCCCUUGAAAUACCACCCUGGUGGCUUUGAGGUUCUAACCCAGAUCCGUCAUCCGGAUCGGGGACCGUGCAUGGUAGGCAGUUUGACUGGGGCGGUCUCCUCCCAAAGUGUAACGGAGGAGUUCGAAGGUUACCUAGGUCCGGUCGGAAAUCGGACUCAUAGUGCAAUGGCAUAAGGUAGCUUAACUGCAAGACCCACAAGUCGAGCAGGUGCGAAAGCAGGACAUAGUGAUCCGGUGGUUCUGUAUGGAAGGGCCAUCGCUCAACGGAUAAAAGGUACUCCGGGGAUAACAGGCUGAUUCCGCCCAAGAGUUCAUAUCGACGGCGGAGUUUGGCACCUCGAUGUCGGCUCAUCACAUCCUGGGGCUGUAGUCGGUCCCAAGGGUAUGGCUGUUCGCCAUUUAAAGUGGUACGUGAGCUGGGUUUAAAACGUCGUGAGACAGUUUGGUCCCUAUCUGCAGUGGGCGUUGGAAGUUUGACGGGGGCUGCUCCUAGUACGAGAGGACCGGAGUGGACGAACCUCUGGUGUACCGGUUGUGACGCCAGUCGCAUCGCCGGGUAGCUAAGUUCGGAAGGGAUAAGCGCUGAAAGCAUCUAAGCGCGAAACCCGCCUGAAGAUGAGACUUCCCUUGUGGCUUGACCACAUUAAAGGGUCGUUCGAGACCAGAACGUCGAUAGGCAGGGUGUGGAAGCACAGCAAUGUGUGGAGCUAACCUGUACUAAUUGCCCGUAAGGCUUGACUCU
rnacentral:rRNA from 1 species